rnacentral:rRNA from 1 species
CUGCAACCUCUCAUAGACAAAGCAAUGGGCAAGCUUCCGGGAUGGAAGGGAAAGAACCUUGCGAGGCCGGGAAGGGUCUCCUUGGCAAAGUCUGUGCUAUGCGCCAUGGCCACACAUCACCUCACUGCGCUCCCUCUUCUGGCGUGGUCCAACCAUAAGCUUAGUAAGAUCUCUCGCAACUUCAUAUGGCAAGGCGACAAUUCCGAGAAUGCGACCGAAGGGCACUCCCUGGUAAACUGGAAGACGGUGUGCAGGCCAAAGGCCCUAGGUGGGCUGGGAAUCACAUACCUAGAGAGAUUUGGUCGGGCUCUCCGCUUACGUUGGCCAUGGCUAAUGUGGACCGACCCUGACCGUUAGUGGGUGGGCUCUGCCCUACCCUGCGACGACUCGGAUAUGGCUCUAUUCAGAGCUUCGACCUCCAUCGUGCUGGGUAACGGCCACAAAGCUCUGUUCUGGCAUGAUGACUGGACCGGAAAGGGUCCCCUAAGGAUGCUGGCUCCCGGAUUAUACAAAAUCGCCACAAGAAAGCAGAGAACAGUUGUAACACCCCGGAUGUAA